GACGAACGCUGGCGGCGUGCUUAACACAUGCAAGUCGAACGAUGAACCACUUCGGUGGGGGAUUAGUGGCGAACGGGUGAGUAACACGUGGGCAAUCUGCCCUUCACUCUGGGGACAAGCCCUGGAAACGGGGUCUAAUACCGGAUAACACUGUCACGGGCAUCUGUGGUGGUUAAAAGCUCCGGCGGUGAAGGAUGAGCCCGCGGCCUAUCAGCUUGUUGGUGAGGUAAUGGCUCACCAAGGCGACGACGGGUAGCCGGCCUGAGAGGGCGACCGGCCACACUGGGACUGAGACACGGCCCAGACUCCUACGGGAGGCAGCAGUGGGGAAUAGUUGCACAAUGGGCGAAAGCCUGAUGCAGCGACGCCGCGUGAGGGAUGAC
rnacentral:rRNA from 1 species